GACGAACGCUGGCGGCGCGCUUAACACAUGCAAGUCGAGCGAUGAAAUCUUGACAGAUCCCUUCGGGGUGAAGAUAAGAUGGAUUAGCGGCGGACGGGUGAGUAACACGUGAGUAACCUGCCUUAGACAUUGGGAUAGCCUCGGGAAACCGGGAUUAAUACCAAAUGAAAUCAUAGGUGCCCAUGCACUAAUGAUCAAAACUCCGGUGGUCUAAGAUGGACUCGCGUCCCAUUAGCUAGUUGGUGAGGUAAUGGCCCACCAAGGCGACGAUGGGUAGCCGGGCUGAGAGGGUGAACGGCCACAUUGGAGCUGAGAAACGGUCCAAACUCCUACGGGAGGCAGCAGUGGGGAAUAUUGCACAAUGGAGGGAACUCUGAUGCAGCGACGCCGCGUGAACGAUGAAGGCUUUCGAGUCGUAAAGUUCUUUUAUAUGGGAAGAUAAUGACGGUACCAUAAGAAAAAGCCCCGGCUAACUACGUG
rnacentral:rRNA from 1 species